UGUUUCUCUUUAUUUCCUAUUUUCUUUUUAUUCCUAUUCUUCUUUCUUUCUUUUUAUAUGUUUAUUAGUAGUAGUAUUAUACAAAAAGAAAGAAAAGAAGAAGGGCAAGGAAAGAAAGAAAGAGAAAAAUC
rnacentral:ribozyme from 14 species